rnacentral:rRNA from 1 species
UACGAAGGGGGCUAGCGUUGCUCGGAAUCACUGGGCGUAAAGCGCACGUAGGCGGAUUUGCCAGUCAGGGGUGAAAUCCCGGGGCUCAACCUCGGAACUGCCUCUGAUACAGCAAGUCUUGAGUCCGGAAGAGGUGGGUGGAAUUCCUAGUGUAGAGGUGAAAUUCGUAGAUAUUAGGAAGAACACCAGUGGCGAAGGCGGCCCACUGGUCCGGUACUGACGCUGAGGUGCGAAAGCGUGGGGAGCAAACAGG